CAGAGAAAUGCUAGAGAGAGCCUGGGUUCCUUUACGUUACUACGCCUGGCGUGGACCUCCUACCCAAGACUUCUCAUGGGUCCAGCUGGAAAACUACAAAGAAGUGUCACUUGGACCUCUCCCUUCUGACCUCAUCAACUCUUGAUUCUUUUAGCCAGUGUCUCCUAAUUAAAGGGAGGAACCUGCCAGCUCGCCCCUCUCCAUGUACAGAAGAAAGCCACAUCUUUCAAGUGAUCAUCAGCAUGUCACGUGUAUCUUUCUCUGCUGCAAAUCUGU
rnacentral:lncRNA from 1 species